rnacentral:rRNA from 1 species
GGGUCAGUAGGUUGGUCGUGCCACCGGUACGUACUGGUCUCACUGAUUCCUCCUUCCUGAAGAACCGUAAUGCCAUUAAUUUGGUAUUGCGGGGAAACAGGACUGUUACUUUGAAAAAAUUAGAGUGUUUAAAGCAAGCUAACGCUUGAAUACAUUAGCAUGGAAUAAUGAAAUAGGACGAUCGAUCCUAUUUUGUUGGUUCCUAGGAUUGACGUA